rnacentral:rRNA from 1 species
CCUACGGGAGGCAGCAGUGAGGAAUAUUGGUCAAUGGGCGCAAGCCUGAACCAGCCAAGUCGCGUGAGGGAUGACGGUCCUAUGGAUUGUAAACCUCUUUUGUCGGGGAGCAAGGCCCGCCACGUGUGGCGGUAAGGAGAGUACCCGAAGAAAAAGCAUCGGCUAACUCCGUGCCAGCAGCCGCGGUAAUACGGAGGAUGCGAGCGUUAUCCGGAUUUAUUGGGUUUAAAGGGUGCGUAGGCGGGUUAUCAAGUCAGCGGUAAAAUCGUGGAGCUCAACUCAAUCCAGCCGUUGAAACUGAUGAUCUUGAGUGAGCGAGAAGUAUGCGGAAUGCGUGGUGUAGCGGUGAAAUGCAUAGAUAUCACGCAGAACUCCGAUUGCGAAGGCAGCAUACCGGCGCUCAACUGACGCUGAGGCACGAAAGCGUGGGGAUCGAACAGGAUUAGAUACCCUUGUAGUC